UGGGGAAUAUUGCGCAAUGUGGGGCAACCCUGACGCAGCCAUGCCGCGUGAAUGAAGAAGGCCUUCGGGUUGUAAAGUUCUUUCGGUAGCGAGGAAGGCAUUUAGUUUAAUAGACUAGGUGAUUGACGUUAACUACAGAAGAAGCACCGGCUAACUCCGUGCCAGCAGCCGCGGUAAUACGGAGGGUGCGAGCGUUAAUCGGAAUAACUGGGCGUAAAGGGCACGCAGGCGGUGACUUAAGUGAGGUGUGAAAGCCCCGGGCUUAACCUGGGAAUUGCAUUUCAUACUGGGUCGCUAGAGUACUUUAGGGAGGGGUAGAAUUCCACGUGUAGCGGUGAAAUGCGUAGAGAUGUGGAGGAAUACCGAAGGCGAAGGCAGCCCCUUGGGAAAGUACUGACGCUCAUGUGCGAAAGCGUGGGGAGCAAACAGGAUUAGAUACCCUGGUAGUCCACGCUGUAAACGAUGUCGAUUUGGGGGUUGAGCUUUAAGCUUGGCGCCCGUAGCUAACGUGAUAAAUCGACCGCCUGGGGAGUACGGCCGCAAGGUUA
rnacentral:rRNA from 1 species